rnacentral:rRNA from 1 species
AACGAACGCUGGCGGCAUGCCUAACACAUGCAAGUCGAACGAGACCUUCGGGUCUAGUGGCGCACGGGUGCGUAACGCGUGGGAACCUGCCCUUAGGUUCGGAAUAACUCCCCGAAAGGGGUGCUAAUACCGGAUAAUGUCUUCGGACCAAAGAUUUAUCGCCUUUGGAUGGGCACGCGUUGGAUUAGCUAGUUGGUAGGGUAAAAGACUACCAAGGCGACGAUCCAUAGCUGGUCUGAGAGGAUGAUCAGCCACACUGGGACUGAGACACGGCCCAGACUCCUACGGGAGGCAGCAGUGGGGAAUAUUGGACAAUGGGCGAAAGCCUGAUCCAGCAAUGCCGCGUGAGUGAUGAAGGCCUUAGGGUUGUAAAGCUCUUUUACCCGGGAUGAGAAUGACAGUACCGGGAGAAGAAGCGCCGGCUAACUCCGUG